CCUACGGGUGGCAGCAGUGAGGAAUAUUGGUCAAUGGGCGGAAGCCUGAACCAGCCAAGUAGCGUGCAGGAUGACGGCCCUAUGGGUUGUAAACUGCUUUUAUACGGGAAUAAAUUGUCUAACGUGUAGGGUUUUGUAUGUACCGUAUGAAUAAGGAUCGGCUAAUGCCGUGCCAGCAGCCGCGGUAAAACGGAGGGUCCGGGCGUUAUCCGGAUUUAUUGGGUUUAAAGGGUGCGUAGGCGGUAUGUUAAGUUAGAGGUGAAAUCCCCGGGCUCAACCCCGGCCUUGCAGCGUGUACUGGCGUGCUAGAGUGCGAGUGAGGCAGGCGGAAUGCGUGGUGUAGCGGUGAAAUGCUUAGAUAUCACGAAGAACCCCGAUUGCGAAGGCAGCUUACUGCGGCUAUACUGACGCUGAGGCACGAAAGCGUGGGGAUCGAACAGGAUUAGAUACCCUUGUAGUC
rnacentral:rRNA from 1 species